AUGAGAGAGGUGGGUUUCAAGAAGAGAGGAGCCGUCAUCUGCUUGCCUGUUAGGGUCACUCAGACUUUGCUGGAGCUAGACCAUGAUGGGGGUGUUAGGGGAGGCAGAAGCAGGAAGACCGGCCAUCAUCAAUGUGAGGCAAAGGCAGCUUGGGUUACCGUGGUGGACAUGGCGAUGUCAGAAGGCGGAAGCAGGAAGACCGGCCGUCAUCGAUGUGAGGCAAAGACAGCUUGGGUUACCAUGGCGGACAUGGUGGUGUCAGAAGGCGGAAGCAGGAAGACCGGCCGUCAUCGAUGUGAGGCAAAGGCAGCUUGGGUUACCGUGGUGGACAUGGUGAUGUCAGAAGGCGGAAGCAGGAAGACCGGCCAUCAUCGAUGUGAGGCAAAGGCAGCUUGGGUUACCAUGGUGGACAUGGUGGUGUCAGAAGGCGGAAGCAAGAAGACCGGCCAUCAUCGAUGUGAGGCAAAGACAGCUUGGGUUACCAUGGUGGACAUGGUGGUGUCAGAAGGCGGAAGCAGGAAGACCGGCCAUCAUCGAUGUGAGGCAAAGACAGCUUGGGUUACCGUGGUGGACAUGGUGGUGUCAGAAGGCGGAAGCAGGAAGACCGGCCAUCAUCGAUGUGCGGCAAAGACAGCUUGGGUUACCGUGGUGGACAUGGUGGUGUCAGAAGGCGGAAGCAGGAAGACCAGCCAUCAUCGAUGUGAGGCAAAGACAGCUUGGGUUACCGUGGUGGACAUGGUGGUGUCAGAAGGCAGAAGCAGGAAGACCGGCUGUCAUCGAUGUGAGGCAAAGACAGUUUGGGUUACCAUAGCGGACAUGGUGGUGUCAGAAGGCGGAAGCAGGAAGACCAGCCAUCAUCGAUGUGAGGCAAAGACAGCUUGGGUUACCGUGGUGGACAUGGUGGUGUCAGAAGGCGGAAGCAGGAAGACCGGCUGUCAUCGAUGUGAGGCAAAGACAGUUUGGGUUACCAUGGCGGACAUGGUGGUGUCAGAAGGCGGAAGCAGGAAGACCGGCCAUCAUCGAUGUGAGGCAAAGACAGCUUGGGUUACCGUGGUGGACAUGGUGGUGUCAGAAGGCGGAAGCAGGAAGACCGGCCAUCAUCGAUGUGAGGCAAAGACAGUUUGGGUUACCGUGGUGGACAUGGUGGUGUCAAAAGGUGGAAGCAGGAAGACCAGCCAUCAUCGAUGUGAGGCAAAGACAGCUUGGGUUACCAUGGUGGACAUGGUGGUGUCAGAUUCUGGAUCUGUUUUGAAGGUGAAGUCAAUCAAGCAUACUGAUGGAUUAGAUGUAGGAAAUGAGAGAGAGGGGGGUCAAGCAUGUCUUCUAGAUGUUCAUCCUGAGCAGCGAGGAGUCACCACUAACGGUGAGACAUGA
rnacentral:lncRNA from 1 species